UCAAAAGUUGGUUUUAGAGAUAUUAUGCUUGUUUUUACAUUGUUUUGCAGGGUUUUAAGGUGAAUUGAAGAUGGAAAUGAAGUAAGGUGGACUUAGACCAUGAAAGAAGGAGAAAAAUGAUGAAAAGAAGGGUCAAGUGACCCGCUGAGCGCUCAGAUCGAUUAGAAUGGACCGCAAGCGCUCAGAUCGAUUAGAGAGAAACUGCUCAACGGCAAGACUGAUGGGCUGUCGCAACCCAUACAAAUUUGAUUGCAUAUGAGAAAUGCAGUAUAGCUAGGGAAUGACCCCUAGGUCGUCUCCCAAAGACCAAUUUUGCGGUUCGAGAAUCGAGUCUAACACGAAGGGGGGGUUUGAAAAGGUUUUUGCAAAAAUUAAAGAACUCAAUAUAAAGACACAGAUGCAAACAAACUAAUUUAAGCUAGCAUGGUAAUUAAACUAACACUAUUAAAAACCUUAGACAACAUUCAAAUAUCAAAUACUCUUGCAAAAAAAUUAACAAACACAGUUAAAAUUAAUUAAACUUCACACUAAUUCAAACACAUUAAACUCAACCUAGCAACUAAAUUAAUUAAAAACCAAGGAAACCAACAAGCCUAAUUUAAUCCUAACAAAUUACUUGACUAAAUGACAAUUAACAAAGGAAUUUAAAAGUCCAAUUGGCCAAAGAAAAGCACAUGGUUGUGCACUACUCUCCACCAAGACCAAAUCAAUUUUUAACCUUCAAUGAGCCACCAAAUGUGUUGUCUUUUUGUCCCUAUAUGCACCAUGUCUCAAAAGAAAUUAGAAUAUGUUUUAAACAACCAAUUGAAAACCUUCCCAUCACUUCUCCAUGCAGAAAAAAACGUGAACCACACACCAAUACUCAAUUUACGUGAACUACAAGCGGAAUUGCAAAAAAAAAUGCUUCAAACCAAAGUGUAAAUGAAAGAUACUUAAGGUGCUUCUUCCAAUGUGCCAUGUAAGCCAAAACAAAUGAAAACAAACUCCAAAAACCUCCAUUCCUCAUUGCAAUUCACGGCUGGAACAAACAAAGGCCAAUCUCAAAGUGGAAACAUUUUAUGAGUCAAAACAAGCAUCUUUUGUGUUGGUCCAAAUCGGGUAAAAACUUUAAUGCACCUUCUCUCCUCCUUCCUAUCUCCAUUUUCGUUUUUCUUUCUCUACCAACACACCAUUCAUGUUUUCUUCCUCCAUACUAUAGAAACAUAAACCCAAGAGACCAAAGUUCAAAUUCCAAAUUAACACAAGAACAAUAAACACAACAUAUGCUACUUCAACCCAACCAAAUCUUCCAUUUCUUCAAGCUUCCUUGCAAAAAACGAAAAUAAUACUUAAGCCAUCAACUCCAGUUCUGUCCAGCCACCAUAACAACACCAAGAUCUAAUCCCAUCCUUGUUUCAAGCAUCAAAACCGAAAAACAAGAAGAAAGAGUCCAAACCACAACACCCACACAUCAACUUAAGCUCUCUUCAACCUAAAACUCACAUAGAACUCCAUUUUUAUCAUCCAACCAAAUAAAAUG
rnacentral:lncRNA from 1 species